ACGCUUGAAGUCAGUCGCGUCUGCUAGAAAUCAGCCUUGCUUUUGCUUGGUGUACUUUCUUGCUGACAGGUCAGCAUCAAUUUUGACCGUCGGAUAAAGUCGAUGGGAAUGUGGCAUCUUAGGAUGUGUUAUAGCCUGUUGUCGCAUACGGCGGUCGGGAUUGAGGAACUCAGCACGCCCGCAAGGGACGGGUUUCGACCACGUUCGUGCUUAGGAUGCUGGCAUAAUGGCUUUAAUCGACCCGUCUUGAAACACGGACCAAGGAGUC
rnacentral:rRNA from 1 species